rnacentral:rRNA from 1 species
UACAGAGGGGGCAAGCGUUGUCCGGACUUACUGGGUGUAAAGCGCAUGCAGGUGGCCUGGCAAGUGUGCUGUGAAAGUCAAAGGCUCAACCUUUGAAAGCCGGUGGAUACUGUGAGGCUAGAGUACGGAAGAGGCGAGUGGAAUUCCUGGUGUAGCGGUGGAAUGCGCAGAUAUCAGGAGGAACACCAAUAGCGAAGGCAGCUCGCUGGGACGUUACUGACACUGAGGCGCGAAAGCGUGGGGAGCGAACAGG